rnacentral:rRNA from 1 species
UACAGAGACUGCAAGCGUUAUUCGGAUUCACUGGGCGUAAAGGGCGCGUAGGCGGCCUUGCGUGUCUUUCGUGAAAUCCCUCGGCUCAACUGAGGACGUGCGGAAGAAACUGCAGGGCUCGAGUCCGGGAGAGGGGGGUGGAAUUCCCAGUGUAGCGGUGAAAUGCGUAGAUAUUGGGAGGAACACCGGUGGCGAAGGCGGCCCCCUGGACCGGUACUGACGCUGAGGCGCGAAAGCGUGGGGAGCAAACGGG